rnacentral:snRNA from 1 species
AGCUGUUACAGCUCUUAUAAAAUUUUCCUAACAAGGUUUCUCUGCCCUUGGUUGGAAAACCCAA